GACGAACGCUGGCGGCGUGCUUAACACAUGCAAGUCGAACGGAAAGGCCCUGCUUUUGCGGGUUUCUCGAGUGGCGAACGGGUGAGUAACACGUGAGUAACCUGCCCUUGACUUUGGGAUAACUUCAGGAAACUGGGGCUAAUACCGGAUAGGAGCUCCUGCACCAUGGUGGGGGUUGGAAAGUUUCGGCGGUUGGGGAUGGACUCGCGGCUUAUCAGCUUGUUGGUGGGGUAGUGGCUUACCAAGCCUUUGACGGGUAGCCGGCCUGAGAGGGUUACCGGCCACAUGGGGACUGAGAUACGGCCCAGAAUGCUACGGUAGGCAGCAGUGGGAAAUAUUGCACAAUGGGCGGAAGCCUGAUGCAGCAACGCCGCGUGCGGGAUGACGGCCUUCGGGUUGUAAACCGCUUUCGCCUGUGACGAAGCGUGAGUGACGGUAAUGGGUAAAGAAGCACCGGCUAACUACGUG
rnacentral:rRNA from 1 species